CUUUAUGUCCAUACCGGCAUAUCUAAACCUGAUCUCGUUACAUCUCAGAAGCUAAACCGGGCUGGGCCUGGCUGGUACUUGAAUGAGAGACCACUGGGAAUAUCAGGUGCCACAGUGG
rnacentral:rRNA from 1 species